rnacentral:rRNA from 1 species
GACGAACGCUGGCGGCGUGCUUAACACGUGCAAGUCGAACGGAAAGGCCCUGCUUUUGUGGGGUGCUCGAGUGGCGAACGGGUGAGUAACACGUGAGUAACCUGCCCUUGACUUUGGGAUAACUUCAGGAAACUGGGGCUAAUACCGGAUAGGAGCUCCUGCUGCAUGGUGGGGGUUGGAAAGUUUCGGCGGGUGGGGAUGGACUCGCGGCUUAUCAGCUUGUUGGUGGGGUAGUGGCUUACCAAGGCUUUGACGGGUAGCCGGCCUGAGAGGGUGACCGGCCACAUUGGGACUGAGAUACGGCCCAGACUCCUACGGGAGGCAGCAGUGGGGAAUAUUGCACAAUGGGCGGAAGCCUGAUGCAGCAACGCCGCGUGCGGGAUGACGGCCUUCGGGUUGUAAACCGCUUUCGCCUGUGACGAAGCGUGAGUGACGGUAAUGGGUAAAGAAGCACCGGCUAACUACGUG